GUCCAGACUCCUACGGGAGGCAGCAGUGGGGAAUAUUGGGCAAUGGGCGCAAGCCUGACCCAGCAACGCCGCGUGAAGGAAGAAGGCUUUCGGGUUGUAAACUUCUUUUAAGAGGGAAGAGUAGAAGACGGUACCUCUUGAAUAAGCCACGGCUAACUACGUGCCGGCAGCCGCGGUAAUACGUAGGUGGCGAGCGUUGUCCGGAUUUACCGGGUGUAAAGGGCGCGUAGGCGGAUUUGCAAGUCAGAUGUGAAAUACCGGGGCUUAACUCCGGAACUGCAUUUGAAACUGUAGACCUUGAGUGCCGGAGAGGAAAGCGGAAUUCCUAGUGUAGCGGUGAAAUGCGUAGAUAUUAGGAGGAACACCAGUGGCGAAGGCGGCUUUCUGGACGGUAACUGACGCUGAGGCGCGAAAGUGUGGGUAGCAAACAGGAUUAGAUACCCCAGUA
rnacentral:rRNA from 1 species